AUUGAACGCUGGCGGCAUGCCUUACACAUGCAAGUCGAACGGCAGCACGGGAGCAAUCCUGGUGGCGAGUGGCGAACGGGUGAGUAAUAUAUCGGAACGUGCCCAGUCGUGGGGGAUAACGCAGCGAAAGCUGUGCUAAUACCGCAUACGAUCUCUGGAUGAAAGCGGGGGACUCGCAAGGGCCUCGCGCGAUUGGAGCGGCCGAUAUCAGAUUAGCUAGUUGGUGGGGUAAAGGCUCACCAAGGCGACGAUCUGUAGCUGGUCUGAGAGGACGACCAGCCACACUGGAACUGAGACACGGUCCAGACUCCUACGGGAGGCAGCAGUGGGGAAUUUUGGACAAUGGGCGCAAGCCUGAUCCAGCAAUGCCGCGUGCAGGAUGAAGGCCUUCGGGUUGUAAACUGCUUUUGUACGGAACGAAACGGUUUGCCCUAAUACGGUGGACUAAUGACGGUACCGUAAGAAUAAGCACCGGCUAACUACGUGCCAGCCGCCGCAGUAAUAC
rnacentral:rRNA from 1 species